AGGGCAUACGGCGGAUGCCUAGGCGCCAUCAGCCGAUGAAGGACGCGGUAAGCUGCGAAAAGCUACGGGGAACUGCAAGCAAGUAUUGAUCCGUAGAUGUCCGAAUGGGGAAACCCACCUGCCGUCAUGGGCAGGUAUCCGAAAGGAAGGGAACCCGGGGAACUGAAACAUCUAAGUACCCGGAGGAAGAGAAAUCAAACGAGAUGCCCACAGUAGCGGCGAGCGAAGAGGGCAGAGGGCAAACCGGUGAGCUACGGCUCGCCGGGGUUGAGGACUGCAUUUAGUCUCAAUGGUCUAUCCGAACUACCUGGAAAGGUAGGCAAUACAGUGUAAAAGCCACGUAGGUUAAAGACCGGAGAGAUGAGCAGUAUCCAGAGUACCACGAGGCACGAGGAAUCUUGUGGGAAGCCGGGGGGACCACCCUCCAACCCUAAACACUGAAUGGCGACCGAUAGCGCAUAGUACCGUGAGGGAAAGGUGAAAAGAACCCCGGGAGGGGAGUGAAAGAGAACCUGAAACCGUAUGUCUACAAGCAGUCGGAGCGAAAGCGACGGCGUGCCUAUUGAAGAAUGAACCAACGAGUUACGUGCACUAGCGAGGUUAAGUGGAAGACACGGAGCCGAAGCGAAAGCGAGUCUUAAGAGGGCGGAUAGUUAGUGUACGUAGACCCGAAACCGCAGUGAUCUACCCAUGUCCAGGUUGAAGCGCAGGUAAAAUUGCGUGGAGGACCGAACCUGUGAGCGUUGAAAAGCUUUAGGAUGAGAUGUGGGUAGAGGUGAAAUUCCAAUCGAACGCGGAGAUAGCUGGUUCUCCCCGAAAUAGCUUUAGGGCUAGCCUCAAGUAGUAAGUAUAGGCGGUAGAGCACUGAUCGGGCUAGGGGCCAUAAAGGUUACCGAACCCUGUCAAACUCCGAAUGGUUAUACUGUAGAGCUUGGGAGUCAGACUACGAGUGAUAAGAUCCGUGGUCAAAAGGGAAACAGCCCAGACCACCAGCUAAGGUCCCCAAUGUCGUACUAAGUGGAAAAGGAUGUGGGGUCUCUAAAACAACCAGGAUGUUGGCUUAGAAGCAGCCACCAUUUAAAGAGUGCGUAAUAGCUCACUGGUCGAGAGACCCUGCGCCGAAGAUUACCGGGGCUAAAGUACGAAACCGAAGCUGUGGCUACGACAUAUGUCGUGGGGUAGGGGAGCGUUCUGUGAGGGCUGAAGUCGUUCUGCAAGGAACGGUGGACUUCACAGAAGUGAGAAUGUUGGUAUGAGUAGCGAAAAGAAUGGUGAGAAUCCAUUCCACCGAAAGCAUAAGGAUUCCUGGGCAACGAUCGUCGUCCCAGGGUAAGUCGGGACCUAAUCCGAGGCAUGGAGCGUAGGAGAUGGACAACUGGCAGAUAUUCCAGUACCGGUAAUGAUUGUUUGAGCGAUGGAGUGACACAGGAGGGCAGGCAGGCAGGAGAUUGGUUGUUCCUGUACAAGCGUGUAGGAUGGGACGCAGGCAAAUCCGCGUCCUGUGAGUCUGAGGCGUGAUGUGGAGGUUCCGGAAACGGAACUGAAGCUGCUGACCCCACACUGUCGAGAAAAGCUUCUAGUUAGAGAAUUACCGCCCGUACCGUAAACCGACACAGGUAUGCGGGGAGAGAAUCCUAAGGUGCGCGGGAGAACCCUCGUUAAGGAACUCGGCAAAAUGUACCCGUAACUUCGGGAUAAGGGUAGCCGCUGUUGUGAAGUCUGAACAGACGGAGCAUGAGGCGGUCGCAGAGAAGAGGCCCAAGCGACUGUUUACCACAAACACAGGUGCCUGCUAAAGAGAAAUCUGACGUAUAGGUGCUGACACCUGCCCAGUGCCGGAAGGUUAAGGAAGGAUGUCCGGAGCAAUCCAAAGCAUUCGACCGAAGCCCCGGUGAACGGCGGCCGUAACUAUAACGGUCCUAAGGUAGCGAAAUUCCUUGUCGGGUAAGUUCCGACCCGCACGAAAGGUGUAACGAUUUGGGCACUGUCUCAACGAGGGACCCGGUGAAAUUGAAGUACCUGUGAAGAUGCAGGUUACCCGCGACUGGACAGAAAGACCCCAUGGAGCUUUACUGUAACCUGACAUUGGGUUCUGAUACAUCACGUACAGGAUAGGUGGGAGGCAUGGAAGCGAGGACGCUAGUCUUCGUGGAGCCGCCGUUGGGAUACCACCCUUGAUGUAUCGGAAUUCUAACCGUAGGAGUAACGAAACUCGGGACAGUGUCAGGCGGGCAGUUUGACUGGGGCGGUCGCCUCCCAAAGAGUA
rnacentral:rRNA from 1 species